rnacentral:rRNA from 1 species
UACGUAGGGCGCAAGCGUUGUCCGGAAUUAUUGGGCGUAAAGAGCUCGUAGGCGGCUUGUCACGUCGGGUGUGAAAGCCCGGGGCUUAACCCCGGGUCUGCAUUCGAUACGGGCUAGCUAGAGUGUGGUAGGGGAGAUCGGAAUUCCUGGUGUAGCGGUGAAAUGCGCAGAUAUCAGGAAGAACACCCGUGGCGAAGGCGGCUCACUGGCCCGGUACUGACGCUGAGGCGCGAAAGCGUGGGGAGCAAACAGG